GGCCCCUUGGUCAAACCGGUCAAGACGCCGGCCUCUCAAGCCGGAAAUGUUGAGUUCAAAUCUCACAGGGGUCACCA
rnacentral:tRNA from 1 species